GACGAACGCUGGCGGCGUGCUUAACACAUGCAAGUCGAGCGGAAAGGCCCUUCGGGGUACUCGAGCGGCGAACGGGUGAGUAACACGUGAGUAACCUGCCCCAGACUUUGGGAUAACCCUCGGAAACGGGGGCUAAUACCGGAUACGACACAGCUUCGCAUGGGGUCUGUGUGGAAAGUUUUUCGGUUUGGGAUGGGCUCGCGGCCUAUCAGCUUGUUGGUGGGGUGAUGGCCUACCAAGGCGACGACGGGUAGCCGGCCUGAGAGGGCGACCGGCCACACUGGGACUGAGACACGGCCCAGACUCCUACGGGAGGCAGCAGGGGGGAAUAUUGCACGAUGGGCGGAAGCCUGAUGCAGCGAAGCCGCGUGAGGGAGGACGGCCUUCGGGUUGUAAACCUCUUUCAGCAGGGACGAAGCGUAAGUGACGGUACCUGCAGAAGAAGCGCCGGCCAACUACGUG
rnacentral:rRNA from 1 species